AUGUUCAUGAAGCAGAUGAACAACGAAUUUGUAAGAGACUCGGAAGGAAGUUGGGUAGCACCGUUGCCGUUCCGAGUGCCAAGACAGCCAUUGCCAAGCAACAGACAACAAGCUCUUCAUCGUGCUAAUAUGUUAGACAUCAGUUUGAAUAGAAACCCAGUUAAGCGGGAACACUUUCUUACUUUUAUGAGUAAGAUCCUAGACAAUAAUCAUGCAGAGCUCGCUCCACCAUUGCACGAACAUGAGGAGUGCUGGUAUUUGCCAUUGUUUGGUGUUUAUCAUCCGAAGAAACCCGAUCAGAUAAGAGGUGUGUUUGAUUCUUCCGCCAAAUGUAACGGAGUUUCACUUAACAGCGUCCUGCUUACAGGUCCAGACUUGACCAACGAUCUCUUGGGAGUACUGCUGCGUUUCAGGAAAGAAAUGAUCGCAGUAACUGCAGACGUUCAACACAUGUUUCACUGCUUCGUUGUCAGAAAAGACCACCGUAAUUACCUGAGAUUUUUAUGGCAUAAAGACAAUGACCUACAGGAGAACCUUGUCGAAUACCGCAUGAGAGUUCAUGUUUUCGGGAAUAGUCCGUCACCUGCUGUUGCUACGCUUGGACUCAGAAAAGCAGCUCAAGCAUCAGAACUAGAGUUUGGCAGUCAUGUGACUAACUUUGUUACAAGAAACUUCUAUGUUGACGACGGUCUAACGUCAUGUCCUACUAAGGAGGAAGCUGUUAAGCUCAUGAAGGACACACAGCAAGCAUUAGCAAAAUAUGGAAACUUACGUCUUCACAAGUUUGCCUCUAAUUGCGCGGAAGUUAUGUCUGCAUUUCAUGCCAGUGAUUUGGCUUCAAAUCUUAAAGAUUUAGACUUAGAAUGCGACAGCAAACCCCUACAACGUAGUCUUGGUCUCAGCUGGGACGUAAACACUGAUAACUUCUUAUUUCAAUUAUCAUCAGAAAACAAACCGAUCACUCGGAGAGGAAUUUUAUCAACGAUAAACAGUCUCUACGAUCCUCUGGGAUUUUUGGCUCCGGUGAUUAUACAAGGGAAACUCCUAUUGAGGAAAAUAGUAUCAGAAACCGUCGAUUGGGACCAACCUCUCACUGAUGAGACAGCCGAUGAGUGGAAAUCUUGGAGAGAUACUUUAAUAGCUAUCGAAACACUGCGCAUUCCACGUACCUAUGUGCCGUAUCUCAGUAAAACUGCCACAAAGGAGUUACAUGUAUUCUCCGAUGCAUCAGAAAAAGCUAUAGCAGCUGUUGCAUAUCUACGCACGACCGACAGUAGUGGUGAACCAAACAUAGGUUUCAUUCUUGGGAAAGCUAAAGUUGCACCAACAAGUGGUCAUACUAUUCCACGUCUUGAACUAUCUGCUGCAGUUUUAGCAGUCGAGAUAACACAGACCAUCAUGGAUAAUUUAGAUUUACAUAUAGACACUGUAAAAUUCUACACAGACAGUAAAGUAGUCCUAGGCUACAUAAGUAACGAGACAAGAAGGUUCUUCAUCUAUGUCGCCAAUCGAGUAGAGAAAAUAAGAAAAUUUAGCUCUCCAAGUCAAUGGAAUUAUGUACCAACUCACCGUAAUCCCGCAGACUCGGGAACAAGGUCCGUACAAGCCCAUGAAAUUCACAGCAGCGAAUGGUUAUUAGGACCAAAACAACUUCUUUCCUCAGAACAGAAGAAUUCUGAGGAUAUAUACCAGCUAAUAGAUCCACAAGAAGAUGGAGAAAUCCGUGCAACUGUUAAUGUUGCAAAAACAUUUUCCACACCUGAGCAUAAAGGUAUCGGAACUGAUAGAUUCAAUCGAUUCUCCAACUGGACAUCACUUGUGCGAGCGAUAGCCUUUUUGGAACGUUUCUCCCGUUUACACGGGUCAAAACAGGUAUCAUCAAUGACUUCUCUGGAUAGUUUUUCGGAUGCCGAAAAUUUCAUCUUAAUAUCUGCACAACAUGAAGUUUAUGGAGAUGAAAUAGAUUGUAUAAAACGUCGGGAACAAAUUAACAAGCGGAGCCCGAUAGCUAACCUUAAUCCGUUUUUGGAUGAACGAGGACUAUUACGAGUUGGAGGCCGUAUUGUAAAAUCUGACUUACACCUCCGUGAAAAGAAACCAUUGAUCGUCCCUGGACGCCAUCAUAUAGCGACAUUAUUAGUUCGACACUUCCACAAUAAGAUAAAACAUCAAGGUCGCCAUUUCACAGAUGGAGCGAUUCGAUCCGCAGGAUUUUGGAUCGUAGGAGCAAAACGCUUGAUCUCAUCUAUUAUUCACAAAUGUGUGAUAUGCCGCAAACUCAGAGGAAAAACCGAGUAUCAAAUCAUGUCUGAAUUGCCAGAGGACCGUCUUGAACCUUCACCUCCGUUUACUAACGUUGGAAUAGACACCUUUGGACCCUGGACAAUUGUUUCACGUAAAACACGUGGUGGAUACGCCAACUCAAAACGUUGGGCAAUUUUAUUCACAUGCUUAGUGACAAGAGCUAUUCACAUCGAAUUAAUCGAGGAAAUGAGUUCUUCAGCCUUCAUAAACGCUGUCAGGAGAUUUGCCGCUAUAAGAGGCCAAGUUAAGAUUUUCCGAUCUGACCGUGGAACAAACUUUAUCGGAGCAAUCGACGAUUUAAAUAUUGACUCAAUCAACGUUGAAGAUGGACCCUUCAAGAACUUUCUGUACAAUUCUGGUACAACUUGGAUCUUCAAUCCGCCGCAUUCGUCCCACAUGGGUGGAGCCUGGGAAAGAAUGAUUGGUAUCACCAGGAGAAUUCUUGAUUCUAUGCUUCUUAACGCAGCCGGAAGAAGUCUAACACAUGACGUGCUUAACACACUAAUGGCAGAAGUUUCAGCAAUAGUGAACUCUAGACCUCUGGUACCGGUGUCAACAGAUCCAGAGAAUCCGUUAAUAUUAACUCCGGCUAUGUUAUUGACACAGAAAACCAACUACGUUUUCACUUCAGACCAUCUUGGGGAAUACGACAAACGAGAUCUCUGUCUUGCCGAAUGGAGACGAGUGCAGGCUCUGGCCAGUGUUUUCUGGUCCCGUUGGAGGAAGGAAUACCUGCCGUUACUACAACAACGACGAAAAUGGACCGAAGAUCGCCGUGAUCUCAUCGAUGGAGACGUCAUUCUUCUAAAGGACAAAAACCUUUGCCGUACUCAAUGGCCCGUUGGAAUUAUAGUGAACUCAUUAAAAAGCUCAGACGAACAUGUCCGAAAAGCAGAAGUGCGAGUAAUCGUUAAUGGAAAAGCCACAACCUACACACGCCCUAUCGUGGACAUGAUUCUUCUCAUAGAGAACAACCCUGUGUAAUUAUAUGUAUAUAUUUUUGGAUUCAUAUAGUGACAUUCAUAUGUGUUAUGGAAUAGUGAUAUCAGGUAGAUUUCAGACGGGGAGUAUACUGAUUCACUUUCGCAAUUAUAUUAACUGUAUAGUCUAUUGGAUUAAAUUUUCAGACAUCCAUAUUUUCCGGAAAUAAUCUGGACUUGUCCGUAUUUUCACUAGUGCUUACUUUCUCUUCCUCACCUGUCUAUUGCAAAUGGAUGCCACGACAAAACGACUCCUGUGGAUAUUGUGACAAAUCACCGUCAAGUACGUUUCAAAUCAAUUAUAAACUGUUAAAUAUAUAUACCGUUAAUUCCGUUAACUUGAAUUCCACGUUUAUUCAACAAAUACGAACUGUAAUUGUUUAUUUCUAUGAAUUGAACUGAGAAUUCUACUUUCGUUUUUGACUUGAUAUUAUUACUGCAUUGAACAUUCAUAUAUUUCUUUCGUACAUAUUGUAAAUAUUGUAUUUUUAUUUCUUUCAGUUUACCAAACAUUACACACUCUGUAAAACUCCUGUAUCCUUUCUGGUGGAAUUAUAAUCUACAAGCUUCACUCACAAGUUGUUAUUCUUUAUAAUUUGCCGAGAUUGCGAUACAAUCCCAUGGUUAUACUAGCUGAGUCAGGCUCAGCAUAUACAAAAUUAAUUUGAAAUUUGUAGAAAAGGUUGAAACUGGAGCAAUUCUGAGGUAAACAAAUUUGAAUAUCAUAAUUUGUUAGUCAAGUAAAUACAUUUUGCAUUAUAAUGUGAGUGACUUUUGUCCCUCUAAGCCUUGAGUUCACUGGACCUCAUUCAUAUAUGGCCUCCUGAGGUUAAUAAUAUAUAUGCUAUCCUUAUUUAGUCAUAACUUUUUUUUUCAUUUAUUAUUCAGUAUAAACUAGAAUUUCAUUCAGUAAAAUUUUUAAUUGAGUUUUAUGAACGAACACAGGUAAGCCUCUACAAUACCUUUUGGUCAGAGUACCCCAUAGUCUGGAAAAACAUAAUGUUUCUCACCCAGUCAGAAAAAAGGAAGUCAUUAUGCUAGCUUUAAAGCUUUUGUGUUUGACGAUCACAAACUUUCUUUAAAAAUAUACUUAUAUUGUCAACGUUGGAUGAUUUUGAAAAACCUGUGGUGAAUUUUAUGAAUGAAACUGGAAAUUUGAGACGUGGAUCAACAAUUCAAUGAAUAAAUUCAUAAUUUCAGUAUAUAGAUCUGAUGUAUUGUGAAUUGUGUCAGCUCAAGGAUCUUAUAUUUAUAGUAGUUUUGUUGUGUUUUGUGUUUUUCAUACAAGGAUUUUAAGUUCUCUGUAUAUAUAUAUAUAGAUAUGAUAUUUUUGACUUGUGGUAUAUAGAAUGUUUAAAUGGAGGAUAACUUUCUAAUUAAGUAUGUAAGUACAAAUUUGCCAUGGAAAGGUUUUAAAAAAUAUUAACUUCUAUUUAGUCUCAUUUGUAAAAAAUCGCACCUUUUUAUUUUAUCUUAUUUGAAAAUUGGUCACAUAGCUAUAUUCCUUUUCAUUUCAUAAAUUUCUGUAUUCUCAAGAAAUGGUAUUAAGAUAUGAAAAUAUUUCAAUCCCAUAAAAAGUUGAACAGGAUAUGAACACAUAAUCAUAAUCUACUGACCCUACUUGUUGGGGUGCACACUACUCCAUUCAUAAUUGACUAGGAUUGUCAGUUUUCCUAUCAAAGGUCUGAGCGCUACAGCUUCCUCCACCAAUAAAAACUGGCUGGCACGACAUAGCCCACAAACGGCCUUCAAAAGUGGCAUUAAAACACAAUCAAUCAAUCAUUAGCCACUGGAUAGCAAAGCACUUUUUGGUGAUUUUUUGUUUUCAGUGCUAUUGACAACUUCCCAAUUGAACUAGUUUUCCAAUUAGCACAACAGAUGACUAUUUUUGUGGUAGAAUGGUAAUGCCUCACUGGUACCUUUGAAGAUUGUUUUUAUUUCUUGUUUUUUGUAGUUGCUAUUUUUGAACGGUUUACAAAACUCAAUUGUAAUUCAUUUUAUUUGCAGAUUAUUUGGAAUAUGUUGUAAAAGAAGAAUUCAGAAAUUUCCUUCUCACCAAACUCAAGACCAUUUAGACUUUAAUGACAUUAGGUAAGCUAUGAUUUAUUGUAGUUAAUCAAAUGUGACCAGAUAUAUAAAGGGAGUUAAUCCAAUGUGACCAGAUAAAUAAAGGGAGUUAAUCCAAUUUGACCAGAUAAAUAAAGGGAGUUAAUCCAAUGUGACCAGAUAUAUAAAGGGAGUUAAUCCAAUAUGACCAGAGAAAUAAAGGGAACCCUAUAUCUAAGUCAAACAUAAACAAAUAUAGACAGUACAUUUAUCUUAAGCUUUGAAUUUUUUUCGUAAAUUCCAAAUUCUCAGGGAGUUAAUUUCUGAGCAAAAUAAUUAUGAAUGUUUCAUUGAUGAUUCUUGAGGUAUUAUUUUUAAAAGGAUGAUGUCUAAGUAGUUACUACUGUAGUCACUAACCAAUCAACACUGAGGUUGUGAGUUUGAACCUCACUCGUGCAGGUGCACUGGACACAAAUCUUGAUUGACCAAGAUUGUCAGUUUUUCUACCUAAGGUCAGUGGUUUAUCUGGGCACUGGCUACCACCAAACAGCCCACAAUUGGUUCUAAUAAGUAGUGUGUUAAAACACAGAAAAUUAAAAUAAAAAGAAUAAUGCCCAAAUUUUUCUUUUAAAAUAAUCUAGGGAAAUAAAAGAUGGUCGCAUUUUGAUAUGAAUAAAAAAAAAAUUCAUUGGAAUUGAAAAGAAUACAAACUGCUUGUUUACUUCUGCAUGGUUAAACUAUGUCAGUUUUUAUUGGGUAUGUGACAUACUUUUGAAUAGUUCAUAAAAGUUUUGACAAUUAUAUAUUAAAUUUGAUUUACUGCACUGUUAUUGAAGUGAAACUUUUUUAUGUCCUCUAGAUCUCCUUAUGAUUAAGAAUAACAAAUAGUGUUUAGUAUUUUAUUUUAUAUUUGUCUUUGCUUACCAUUGUCAUGAUAUCGAUACACCAAAGCACAAUUCCACUACAAUAUUACGUACAGCUAUAUCAAAAUAGAAAGUUACAGCACAUCUAAAAUGGAUGACAAAUAACAUUAAAACAUCACAAACGUCAAAAGCACCAGAAACAUCAUAACAAAACACAAUGAGUUUGCACAUUAAAAGGUAUUUUUAUACACAACACUUAGAAUCUGUGACACGAUAUCAUCAGAUAAAUAAAAGGCGACAUAAGAACUCAACAAAAGAGUUCACACUUUACCAUAAAUAAUGUCUGGUUGCUCAAAAAGUUAUUAUCAAAACACAUUAGAACACAAUGUCAUCAAACAAAAACAGACACAACACAUCAGAACACAAUGUCAUCACAUACAAAAACAGUCUCAACUCACCAGAACACAAUCUCAUCACACAAAAACAGUCUCAACUCAUCAGAACACUGUCAUUACACACAAAAACAGUCUCAACUCACCAGAACACAACGUCAUCACACACAAAAACAGUCACAACUCACCAGAACACAAUGUCAUCACACACAAAAACAGUCAACUCAUCAGAACACAAUACAGUCAUAACACAAACAGAUCACACAAAGAAUCAGUCACAAAAAACAUCAAAGUACGAUCAGUCACAAGGCAUCACACUCAAAAAUAGUCAAAACUCAACAGAUCACACACACACUAACAGUUACAAAAUAUCAGAACACAAUAUCAAAACAAAAACAGUCACAACCGUCACAACACAUCAGAACACAAUGUCAUCACACACAAAACAAGUCACAACUCACCAGAACACAAUGUCAUCACACACAAAAAGUCACAACACAUCAGAAUUCAAUAUUAUCACACAAAAAAACAGUCAUAACACAUUAUAACACAAACAAAUCACACAAAGAAUCAGUUACAAAAAAACAUCAAAACACAAACAGUCAAAAGGCAUCACACACAAAAAUAGUCAAAACACAACAGAUCACACACAACAGUCACAAAAUAUCAGAACACAAUAUUAAAAAACAGUCUUUUGAGGACAGUUGUCUCAUUGGCAAUCAUACCACAUCUUCUUUUUUACAACACAUCAGAAUACAAUGUCAUCAGGAAAAAAACAGUCACAGCACAUUAUAACUCAUUAACAGUUCAUCAAUAAUCGAAUAACUGUAUAGAGGACAGGCUUCAAAAAACAAAAUCACAAUUCACAAAAAAAAGAAACCCAGCCAUUGUAAACACCAACUGAUAUUGUAUAGUCAUUGUAUUGUAUUGUGGCAAAUACAAUAAAAUCCAUACAUUUCAACACACAUUUUAUAGUUGAAGCAUUGUAAUUUACCAAAAGAUGUCUUAUAUUGUGGUCUACGAACCCACACUGAAUACUAUUUUCAUUGACACUAGCUAGAUACACAAUGAGAUAAGAGUAUAAACUGAUCAAACUUUUUACAAGAAUAAAAAUUACUCCAAAAAUGUUGUUUUCCUUUCUUAUAGGUACUUAGUAACCAUGAAUGAUUGGAAUUUUUGUUUACAUUUAAAAGAAUUUCCGUUGUUACUUACUCAAAGUUACUUGACCUAAGUUAUAAAAAAAAUAGUAGAAAAGAAUAACUGUAUGAAUGUUUAUAAGUAUAUUUGUCAGGCCUUGUUUGUUCAGGGGGUUAUAAUAGACAUGAAAUUAAAGUCAUGUGUCAGUAUUUAUUUUUGAAUGGUUCCUUUAAACAAGAGGGAUAAAAGACCAGUUUUUAAAUUCUGAGCCUCAUUGUGAUAUAAUGUGAUCUAGUUUUGUUAUAUUUCUCUAAGUGUGGGAAGAUCUCAGUGACGAUAUGUUUUCAUUGAUGAUUAUUUUACCUUGACCAGAACUUUUUUAUGUAAUUCUUUUUAGCUAUUUGACCUUGUCUGUAACCUUUGUUCAAUAUAUAUAUAUGUACUUUCAAUGUACCAUUGUUUAUGUAUAAUUACGAAUAACCAUGGUCUGGAAUUUGUAAAAUCUUUAAAAGGAUACCCUCGUCAGACAUACUUGAUUAGAUUAUUGACGCAAAAAGGGUUACCUCAACACCAUGAAAUAAGUGACCUUGGCUUAGACUUGCAGAAAGGGUAAUCUUUACAGCAAAACAAUUUCAGUUCAUUUAUAGGUUACAGAGUUUAGUAGGAUGUCCUUUUUGACUGAACUAUUUCACAUUUUUGUUUAAGGGGCCAGCUAAAGCUAAAGCCCACCUCUGGAUGCCUGAUUUUCUCACUCAGUGUUGAAGAGCCAUAGGUGGCCUUGGGCUGUUUUCAUCUGUUUGAUGGGUUUGUUGACUCUGAUACAUUCCCUAUUUCCAUUGUUGACUCUGACACAUUCCCUAUUUCCAAUAACAAUUUUAUAAUACAUUUUUGUUUCAGAUAUGUUCCUGUAUACUACGAUAUGACUGGUCAUUACAGUACCUGA
rnacentral:sRNA from 1 species